UACGGAGGGUGCAAGCGUUAUCCGGAUUUACUGGGUUUAAAGGGUGUGUAGGCGGGCUGUUAAGUCAGUGGUGAAAUCUCCGGGCUCAACCCGGAAACUGCCAUUGAUACUAAUGGUCUUGAAUUUUGUUGAGGUAGGCGGAAUAAGUCAUGUAGCGGUGAAAUGCAUAGAUAUGACUUAGAACACCAAUUGCGAAGGCAGCUUGCUAAACAAAUAUUGACGCUGAGGCACGAAAGCGUGGGGAGCGAACAGG
rnacentral:rRNA from 1 species